rnacentral:lncRNA from 1 species
UUUACUCAUUUGAAGGAUAAGUCCAAUGUCUUAGUGACCUACUCUGUAGUAAUGUGUGGUUUAGAACUGUCAGAAUAUACACUUUCUAAAAGCAAUUUUGUAUCUUCUCAUCAAUAUUUGAGAGAGGACCAAGUUUGUUCCCCACAGCCCCCGCCACCAUAUUAAUAGGUUAUUCUACAUAAUGUUGUUUUUCAACUCCAUGCUCUGCCAGUGCUCCUCUGUACCACUGUUUGGCUGAAUAAUAUAUAAAAUCUAGGUUUGUUGUCAGUUUCAAAUUAGUAAUUAUCCCUUGUGCAUUUCUGUUUCUAAAUAUUUUUUACUUUCUCCACUGUUAGGCUUGAGA